rnacentral:misc_RNA from 1 species
CAACCCUCAAACCCCCGGGUUUGGUGUUGGGGAUCGGGCUGCCAGUCAGCCCGGCCCCGAAAUCUAGUGGCGGUCACGCUGCAGCUUCCAUUGCGUAGUAGAUAACACCCCGCAACCGGUACGCGGCGCGGCCAAGCCGUUAAACCCCCAACUUCUGAA